rnacentral:rRNA from 1 species
GUGUCAGCAGCCGCGGUAAUACGUAGGGGGCAAGCGUUGUCCGGAUUUAUUGGGCGUAAAGAGCGUGUAGGCGGCCAUACAGGUCCGUUGUGAAAACUGGAGGCUUAACCUCCAGACGUCGAUGGAAACCGUAUGGCUAGAGUCCGGAAGAGGAGAGUGGAAUUCCUGGUGUAGCGGUGAAAUGCGCAGAUAUCAGGAAGAACACCCGUGGCGAAGGCGGCUCUCUGGGACGGUACUGACGCUGAGACGCGAAAGCGUGGGGAGCGAACAGGAUUAGAAACCCUAGUAGUCC